rnacentral:lncRNA from 1 species
AUAAUUUUCUCUUUCUAUGUUUACUUAUCUCACUGCAACAGAAUUAGAUGAAUAUAUUUUUGGAAUAUUUUUGUGUAAGUGUCUCAUUUAUGCCAAAAUUUUUUAAAAAACUCUAUUAAGGCCUAAAUAUAAAGCCUAAUCCAACCAAAAAUUAAAAAAAAUUUCUACUCAAUCAAUCCAAUCUAAGCCACUCGGUCCGAUUACAAAUAGAAAAGGAAAAAAAAAAAAAAAUUGAUUACCAUCUUCUCUUUUCCUCCUCCGUCGCUGCAGCCGACGAGAUAGGGCUCUGGCGGUUGGAGUUCAGCCGCGAGGAUCUCAUAAGGACCGUAAAGGGUUACAAUCGUUACGCAUCCCUCUGUCACAGGUCGCUAAAAGAGUGGGUGCCAAACAUCGAGGCGGCCCGCAUAUAGCGACUCCACAUAUAGCAAUAUUUUUAAAAAGUAUCGGUAAUUUAACCAGCAGCACUUUUUUUUAUCAAUACCAAUAUGGCAAUAUUUAAAAGUAUUGUUAUACAUCAUUUUUGUUGUAGUGUCUUCGAAAAUCAUGUGGAUCUUAAAUGCUAAUUAAUUAUUCUAAAAGCACUUGCUAAUAAGAAAGGCAUAUUUAUAACAUUUAAGAGUUCAGUCACGGCGCUCACGAGCUUUAACCUGACUCGAUCCAUCUGAACGUUAAAUCUAUUGUUGGACCUCUUACCGUCAGGUCUAUUGUGAAUCACAGUUCCACUCAAUUUAUUACAAGUUUUGUUUUUGUUUAUUGUCACGAUUCAGAAAGUUGGAUCUAUUUUUCCACAUAAACUAACGUGUUCUAAGUUUGUAUUAAUU